ACCUCGAUAGCUCAGUUGGUGAGAGCACUGGACUGGUGAGUCAGAGGUUGCGGGUUCGAGUCCCGUUCGAAGAG